UACAGAGGUCUCAAGCGUUGUUCGGAUUCAUUGGGCGUAAAGGGUGCGUAGGCGGCGCGGUAAGUCGGGUGUGAAAUCUCGGGCUUAACUCCGAAACUGCAUUCGAUACUGCCGUGCUUGAGGACUGGAGAGGAGACUGGAAUUUACGGUGUAGCGGUGAAAUGCGUAGAUAUCGUAAGGAAGACCAGUGGCGAAGGCGGGUCUCUGGGCAACAACUGACGCUGAGGAGCGAAAGCGUGGGGAGCGAACAGG
rnacentral:rRNA from 1 species